GCUCGGCAGCACCCCUGGCGGGCAGCGGGGGUGCAUUGUAGUUGCAUUGCACGUUCUGGCAGUGCCGUGCAAUGUUUCCACAGUGCAUCCCAGAGGCCUGCACACCACAAGAGACUGCCC
rnacentral:precursor_RNA from 15 species